UGGCCUCAAAUCAGGUAGGACUACCCGCUGAACUUAAGCAUAUCAAUAAGCGGAGGAAAAGAAACUAACAAGGAUUCCCCUAGUAACUGCGAGUGAAGAGGGAAAAGCUCAAAUUUAAAAUCUGGCAGCUU
rnacentral:rRNA from 1 species